AAGCCCAGCAUGAAGAUCCUUAAUUUGCUGUUCGCAAUCCUUUUUGUGGCAUUCCUGUAUGAACCAGGGAUUGCCGGCCAAAACUGUCGGGUAGGAGCAGUAAGAGGAUUUUGCACUACCCGUAAGAACCAGGGCUGUACUAGGAGUGUUAAUUGUCCACAAGGAUGGUGGUGCUGUCCAGGAUACAGAUAAUAAUCUCCAUCUUCUGCCACGGAUAUCUUGAAGAUCUGGCCAAUGACCCAACAUCACUGCCUG